CCGAGGAAUCCGCGUAACUCCAAUAUCUGCAGUCCAAGAGCAAAUGUUGUCACAGAAUCCUCACCGAAGGUCGUACGUUUCCGCAGCCCGUGGAACCAUGAGCUAGAUCGCGUAAAUUUGUCGUCAGCAUGUCGCAUUGGACAAAAGAUACGAGGAGCAGUACGCGUGCCGCCGUUCGAUACGAACAGACGCAAAGCAGCUACAAGAGCAAAUAGAAGCCAAAAACGGACAAUUUGCCUUAUUGGAAAUAUCUGUGCCAAGUGAAACAAUUUAAACUUCCUUGUCACGCUCAGUUCGCUCUCGUCGUGAAUGCUGGACCGCUCUAGAAAACAAGCCAACUUCAAGAUGUGUCGGUCUACGUAGCUGGCUGGUUCUUAGAACGGCUUUGCAUGUGUGAGAGGGCGAAUGAUUUUCAACGUGAAUGUAAAAGUAAACAUGUAGAGUGGUGUCACACAAUUAGCUGGCUGCCUCGCCCGUUCGUUCCAACCGGUCGAGCUAAAACGGCCCCAUCCACACAGGAACGGUUUCGAACGGUUCAACCUUGCGCGACUUUGACGUUGGUGGCCCGGCGGCUACAAACAGCAAUGAAUAUGCAAUCACGCACAUUUAAGCACGGCAGACCGGGGACUCACUUUCCAAGAUGGCAAGAGUGCACACCAUAGCCGCGCGACCAGCGUCUUGUCGUAGCGAAUUGUCCUAUAAAUUAAUUAUUACAAAUGAACAGUACCAGGGGAACGUGCAAACACGAUCAACGCAAAGAAGACACACUGCUCUCGGCAAAAUGCUUCAAGAGUGCGGGGUAGCCUGGUAGCAUCUUUCCAGCGGUCGAUGACGAAACGAACGUUUAGCUGCAUCCGUUGCAAAGCUUGUCUUAGCUUUAUGUGCGACUCGUGCCGAAUGCAAUCAAUGUGGAAUUCCAUCUGAGAUGAUAACAUUUGCACUUCAAACAUCUUAACAUUGCUUUCACGAUUAAAUUGAUAAGUGAUUCGUUCCUGCAAAA